GAGUUUGAUCCUGGCUCAGAAUGAACGCUGGCGGUAUGCUUAAUACAUGCAAGUCGAACGAAAUAUUUAGCACUUGUGUUAAAUAAUUUAGUGGCGAACGGGUGAGUAACACGUAAGAACUUACCCCUAGACGAGGUACAACAGUUGGAAACGACUGCUAAUACCUCAUAUUACCGGAAGGUGAAAGAAGCAAUUCGUCUAGGGCGAGGCUUGCGUCUGAUUAGCUUGUUGGUGAGGUAAUGGCUCACCAAGGCAUCGAUCAGUAGCUGGUCUGAGAGGAUGAUCAGCCACAUUGGGACUGAGACACGGCCCAGACUCCUACGGGAGGCAGCAGUGGGGAAUUUUCCGCAAUGGGCGAAAGCCUGACGGAGCAACGCCGCGUGAGGGAUGAAGGCCUCUGGGCUGUAAACCUCUUUUAUCAAGGAAGAAGAUCUGACGGUACUUGAUGAAUAAGCCACGGCUAAUUCCGUGCCAGCAGCCGCGGUAAUACGGGAGUGGCAAGCGUUAUCCGGAAUUAUUGGGCGUAAAGCGUCCGCAGGCGGCCCUUCAAGUCUGCUGUUAAAAAGUGGAGCUUAACUCCAUCAUGGCAGUGGAAACUGUUGGGCUUGAGUGUGGUAGGGGCAGAGGGAAUUCCCGGUGUAGCGGUGAAAUGCGUAGAUAUCGGGAAGAACACCAGUGGCGAAGGCGCUCUGCUGGGCCCAUCACUGACGCUCAUGGACGAAAGCCAGGGGAGCGAAAAGGGAUUAGAUACCCCUGUAGUCCUGGCCGUAAACGAUGAACACUAGGUGUCGGGGGAAUCGACCCCCUCGGUGUCGUAGCCAACGCGUUAAGUGUUCCGCCUGGGGAGUACGCACGCAAGUGUGAAACUCAAAGGAAUUGACGGGGGCCCGCACAAGCGGUGGAGUAUGUGGUUUAAUUCGAUGCAACGCGAAGAACCUUACCAGGGUUUGACAUCCUGCGAAUCUCUUGGAAACAGGAGAGUGCCUUCGGGAACGCAGUGACAGGUGGUGCAUGGCUGUCGUCAGCUCGUGUCGUGAGAUGUUGGGUUAAGUCCCGCAACGAGCGCAACCCACGUCUUUAGUUGCCAGCAUUUAGUUGGGCACUCUAGAGAGACUGCCGGUGAUAAACCGGAGGAAGGUGUGGAUGACGUCAAGUCAUCAUGCCCCUUACAUCCUGGGCUACACACGUACUACAAUGCUACGGACAAAGGGCAGCAAGUUCGCGAGGACAAGCAAAUCCCAUAAACCGUGGCUCAGUUCAGAUCGUAGGCUGCAACUCGCCUACGUGAAGGCGGAAUCGCUAGUAAUCGCAGGUCAGCAUACUGCGGUGAAUACGUUCCCGGGCCUUGUACUCAC
rnacentral:rRNA from 1 species